GCAUAUAAGUAAGCGGAGGAAAAGAAACUAAAUAGGAUUCCCUCAGUAAUGGCGAAUGAACAGGGAUGAGCUCAGUAUGGAAAUCGGGGCCUGUGGCCUUGAAUUGUAGUCUGGAGAUGUACCACCAACUGGGGCGCAGAUGUAAGCCUCUUGGAAAAGAGCAUCAAUGAGGGUGAGAGUCCCGCUUGGCAUCUGCAGUCCCCAGUGCACGGUGUACCUUCUAAGAGUCACGUUCCUCGGGAUUGGAGCGCAAAUUGGGUGGUAAGUUUCAUCUAAAGCUAAAUAUAGUUUCGAGACCGAUAGCAAACAAGUACCAUGAGGGAAAGGUGAAAAGGACUUUGAAAAGAGAGUUAAAAGUGCCUGAAAUUGCUGAAAGGGAAGCGAAUGGAACCAGCGUAACUUGGCGAGAUUGCUGCGUGUCAAUGUGAUUGCUUGCUGCUUCAACGUAAGUGUGGUAGUAAGUCUUGAACAGGACAUGCGUGGUGCUUCUUGCCUUGUGUGUCACCGUCAGUUCGCAACUGGGGAAAACUUCAGGGACAUGGUAGCCUGUCUCCGGGUGGGUGAACGUGUUUGCUGGAACUCAUUUGUGGACUGCUUGGUGACUAAAUGGUUCCAUCUGACCCGUCUUGA
rnacentral:rRNA from 1 species